rnacentral:tRNA from 1 species
GGUCCGUUCGUCUAGGGGUUAGGACACCAGAUUUUCAUUCUGGCAACACGGGUUCGAUUCCCGUACGGACUA